UUCCCGAAUAUUGAAGUGACAAGCAUGUGCCGCUACGCCUGGCUGAACACCAAGUUUACUGCUUGCGCGUGAGAGUCUGCGCAGCCGCAAAGGUUGGAGUCCUUGUCCGUCUGCUCAUUUGGGAACCAAUAAAGUUGAAUGUCUUCAAAACGGGCCAAGUCGCUUAGGCCCUGUCGGACAAUCCUGAAAAAGAACCGGACUGGGAACUCGCGCGCGCUUCCAGGGUUCUCCCUCUUCCUGGCAGUGCAGUCCUCCCAACUCCCAGAACUUUCGUGCCGAGGAGCCAGCGAGGGGGGCGGCACUUCCGGUGCCGCGGGACUUCGCGUGCUCUGUGUUUCCGGUCCGGCGGGGAAGGCGGCUUCCGCAGGCUUUCCCGGUAACGUGGGGUGCCCACGGCUGGCCCACGGCAGCAUGAAGCCCAGGCCGGCGGUGUUCGUGGACGGGAGGCUGAAGCAGCGGGUCGUUCAGUACCUCGCCAGUAAUAGAUGUGGCAAAUAUGUAGACACUGGAAUCUUAGCAUCUGACUUGCAAAGAAUGUACAGUGUAGAUUAUGGCCGAAGAAAAAGAAAUGCUUUUAGGAUUCAGGUAGAAAAAGUAUUUAACGUAAUUAGUAGUGAGAAAGAACUGAAGAACCUUAAGGAAUUAGAAGAUGAACAUCUGUCAAAAAGAGCACGAAGAGACGAAGACGAUGAGUACACUGAAAGCUAUUCUGAUGAUGAUUCAAACAUGGAAGAUUACCCGGAUCCACAGUCAGCAAAUCACAUGAACAGUUCCCUGCUAUCUCUGUAUCGGAAAGGAAACCCUGAUUCUGUUUCAAACACUCCGAAGUUGGAACAGAGAGAAGCCACCACUUCAAUGCCAUUACUGACUUCUAAAACGGGCUCCAUGCCAUUGAAGACCCCUGCCAAAGAAUCUGAGGGAGGAUGGUUUAUUGACAAAACCCCAGGUGGAAAGAAAGAAAGUCUUCCUUCAGACCUAUCAGAUGACCAAAGCAACUAUAAAAAGCCAGAUUCUGAGGUACAGACUUUAAAAGAUUCUUCUCUUCUGGAAAGUGAUAAGAAAAGGAAAGGUAGGCCAAAGAGCAAAGGAAACAAAAGAAAGACAGAGGCUCUUCAAGAAGUAGAUGGAGAAAUAGAAGCUAGUCUGCAGAAGAAAGCUAAAGCAAGGAGUAUAGAGUUGCAGAUUUCCAGUGUGAAGUUUGAAGAUGUUGGAGGCAAUGAUGCAACAUUAAAAGAAGUAUGCAAGAUGCUCAUCCACAUGCGUCACCCAGAGGUAUACCACCACCUUGGUGUAGUGCCCCCUCGUGGAGUUCUCUUGCAUGGGCCACCAGGCUGUGGGAAGACAUUACUUGCUCAUGCAAUUGCUGGGGAGCUUGAUUUGCCAAUUCUGAAAGUGGCUGCACCAGAGAUUGUGUCAGGAGUUUCUGGAGAGUCUGAGCAAAAGCUCCGAGAUUUAUUUGACCAAGCUGUGUCAAACGCACCCUGUAUUGUUUUCAUUGAUGAAAUUGAUGCUAUUACCCCCAAAAGAGAAGUCGCUUCAAAAGAUAUGGAACGAAGAAUUGUAGCCCAGCUUCUAACCUGCAUGGAUGAUCUGAACAACAUGGCAGCUACAGCUCGAGUCCUAGUUGUUGGAGCUACUAACCGACCAGACUCGUUGGAUCCUGCCUUGAGACGUGCAGGAAGGUUUGACCGAGAAGUAUGCCUGGGUAUCCCUGAUGAGGCUGCCAGAGAAAGAAUACUUCAAACUUUGUGCCGAAAACUGAGACUUCCGGAAACUUUUAAUUUUUGUCACUUAGCACACCUAACUCCGGGCUUUGUCGGUGCUGAUCUGAUGGCACUUUGCCGAGAGGCAGCCAUGUGUGCAGUCAAUAGGGUCUUGAUGAAGCAACAGGAGCAGCAGAAGAGUCCUGAGAUGGAAGCUUUGCCCCCUGAAGGAGGCCAGGAGGAGAGGCAGGGGACCGAGCCCACUUCUGGAACCCAGGAUGAAUUGCAAAGGCUGUUGAGGUUGCUAAGAGACCAAGAUCCCCUCUCACAAGAACAGAUGCAAGGACUUUGCAUUGAAUUAAAUGAUUUCAUUGUUGCUCUAGCGGAAGUCCAGCCUUCUGCCAAAAGGGAAGGCUUUGUAACUGUCCCUAAUGUGACAUGGGCCGAUAUUGGUGCCCUGGAAGAUAUUAGAGAAGAGCUCAUAAUGGCAAUAUUGGCACCGGUACGUAACCCAGACCAGUUCAGAACUCUUGGUUUGGUGACUCCAGCUGGCAUCCUCCUAGCUGGUCCUCCUGGAUGUGGAAAAACUCUGCUAGCAAAGGCUGUGGCAAAUGAGUCUGGACUAAAUUUUAUAUCCGUCAAAGGCCCUGAAUUAUUAAAUAUGUACGUUGGUGAGAGCGAACGUGCUGUGCGGCAGGUUUUUCAACGAGCCAAGAACUCAGCACCCUGUGUGAUAUUUUUUGAUGAAGUGGAUGCUUUAUGCCCUCGAAGAUCAGACCGAGAAACAGGCGCUAGUGUUCGAGUGGUGAAUCAGCUGCUUACGGAGAUGGAUGGGUUGGAAACACGUCAGCAAGUUUUUAUUUUGGCUGCCACUAAUAGGCCAGAUAUCAUUGACCCUGCCAUUCUGCGGCCAGGCCGGCUGGACAAAACACUCUUUGUAGGUUUGCCUCCCCCGGCAGACCGUGUUGCCAUAUUGAAGACUAUCACAAAAAAUGGCACCAAACCUCCACUGGAUGAAGAUGUAAAUUUGGAAGCAAUUGGCAAUGACCUUCGCUGUAAUUGCUAUACGGGUGCAGACCUCUCUGCUUUGGUCCGAGAAGCUUCCCUCUGUGCCCUGAGACAAGAAAUAACAGGACAGAAGAGUGCAGUUGGAACAGGUGAGCUCAAGGUCAGCCAUAAGCAUUUUGAAGACGCUUUCAGGAAAGUAAAACCAUCUAUAUCAAUAAAGGAUCAAAAGAUGUAUGAAGCCCUGCAGAGGUCCCUCAGUCAGUGACAUUUGCAGAACCUGGCAUGGAGGUGUCUAGUGCAUGGAACUCACCAAGAAUCACACUUGCUCUGAAGGGUCUACUUUCAGCCUGACGCAGAUGACCUCAUUGGUUUUUGUUUUUGUUUGGAGACAGUUUCUAUGUAUUCCUGCCUUGCCUGGAACAUACUGUUUAGCCUCUGCCUCCCAAGUGCUGGGAUUAAAGAGACUCAAGAGCCCAAGACUAGCCCUUAGUGAAGAGCGGCUGAAGCUGAUCGGUGUGCUACUCUGCUUCCUUACUGCUAGGAGAGACUUAAAACUCCUGUAAUGUGCGGAGAAAGGAGAACACACAGUGAAUGUACAAUUCCGUGAAGAGCAGAAGGAUUGCCAUCGGCGAGGCUGUCCAUGAAUUGUCCCAGGAGUCAGGGAGGGGACCAGCUUCCCUUGCCCACUGGCUUUCUUCCCCAUGCCUGGUUGCUCCAGCCCGGUUGCGCUGUGGUCCCUACUGCUUCCUUUGCCCGUACUCCUCUUACUUUUCUGACCUGCUUCCCACUCCCUCACCCUUCCCCUAAGGUAACACUCCAGGGAAGCCACUUUACCCUGAUUUUGUCUCAGGGUUGGUUUUAGUAAACCUGAAAAAUUAAGCAAUUGCAUAGGAAAGGGUUUUUUCGAAGAGGAGGCCUUUGAGCUGAGAGCUGAGGAUGGAUAGGGAAGGAGCUGGCUGUAUUGGAAGCAGUACAGGGGGAGUGGAGGAGGCCCUAAUUUGCAGCCGUCUUGAGCAUGGAACAAAGGAAUGUGCUGGGGCUGGCCCACAGCAGUGAGUAGGGAGGGGAGGACACAGUGUGCAAGAGGGAGGCAUGAGCCAGAUGCUUCAAGGUUGCCCAUCACGAGUAUGGGGAUGUGUGCGGUGUGCAUGUAUGUGCCAUGCCGUGCCUGGCUUCUCCUUCCUCCUCGGCUUUCCUUAUUUCUGAAAGCCCAAGCUGGAGGCAGAAACAGCUUGCUGCAUCCCCUGGAAUGUGAGAUGACAGGAGAGUGGAGGAACCAACCAUCACUGUGAAUGAUUUUUUUUCCAAAUUACUGAAAUUCUGUCUCAGCGUUAGACACCCAGUUUCCAACUAAAGACACCACUUCCUAACCCCUUCUUUUAUACACAAGCAAGGGGGCUCUUUGUGGAUAUAUAACUGAAGGGUGUCAUUAUAGACAGUAGACAAGCCUUAAACUUAGAACAAGGGUGACUAGAUCCAGUUCUGGUUCCCCACCACUGUAAGAGGAAGCUGGCCAACCUGAAAGAAUUUACUUCAUAUUUUGGAUCCUCAUUUUCCUUUUCCUUUUGAUGAGGAACAGACCAUUCCCUUUCCAAUGUGCAUAUUGAAAGGAAGUGAUGUUGUUAAAUUGAAGCAGAAUGGUCAUUUCCCCAAGAUAUGCAUGCACUGCUCUCUGAGCCUUUGGGAACAGAAGGAAUAGGACUGGGGAAAUGGCUGGGUGGGUAAAAUGCUUGAGGUACAAGUAUGUAGAUUCAAGAGGGCGCCAAGUGAUUCUCCUGCCCAGCCUUCCUGGAGCCAUACUUAAGACUAUGGGUAUGUACCACCAUGCUCUCUGAGACUUUCUAGUCCUUUUUAUGGGAAGGAAAUUUAUAGUUAAGUUUCCCCAAGUACUAGUGUAACUAUCUAACAUAGAGAAAAGACAGGGAAAUUUAAAAAAAAAAAAACAGUAAAUGCAUUUUGAUUCAUAGUGCACUUGGUUAGCUUUUUU